rnacentral:rRNA from 1 species
UACGUAGGGUGCGAGCGUUAAUCGGAAUUACUGGGCGUAAAGCGUGCGCAGGCGGUCAUGCAAGACAGAUGUGAAAUCCCCGGGCUCAACCUGGGAAUUGCAUUUGUGACUGCAUGGCUGGAGUGCGGCAGAGGGGGAUGGAAUUCCGCGUGUAGCAGUGAAAUGCGUAGAUAUGCGGAGGAACACCGAUGGCGAAGGCAAUCCCCUGGGCCUGCACUGACGUUCAUGCACGAAAGCGUGGGGAGCAAACAGG